rnacentral:rRNA from 1 species
GAUGAACGCUAGCGGCAGGCCUAACACAUGCAAGUCGAGGGGCAUCGCGGUGCAGCAAUGCACUGGCGGCGACCGGCGUACGGGUGCGUAACGCGUAUGCAACCUGCCCCGCACCGGGGGAUAGCCCGCCGAAAGGCGGAUUAAUACCCCAUGGCCCCGGGGGCCCGCAUGGGCAUCCGGGUAAAGCUUUGGCGGUGCGGGAUGGGCAUGCGUGCCAUUAGCUGGCUGGUGGGGUAACGGCCCACCAGGGCAACGAUGGCUAGGGGGUCUGAGAGGAUGGUCCCCCACACUGGUACUGAGACACGGACCAGACUCCUACGGGAGGCAGCAGUGAGGAAUAUUGGUCAAUGGGCGGAAGCCUGAACCAGCCAUGCCGCGUGCGGGAUGAAGGCCCUACGGGUUGUAAACCUCUGUCAUGGGGGAAGAAGUAAGUGACGGUACCCCAAGAGGAAGCCCCUGCUAACUACGUG